AAACAACACUUUUCAGUGUAUACGUUUGGGUAUGCUUCUUUAAAAUCAGUAAACUUUGAAUCACUUUAUUUUAUUGAGAUGUCAACAUGUAAUUGAAUGUGCUAGGGAGAACUCACCUGACACUUUUCUAAGUGCUUUCUUUCUGAGUCUCUGUUCAGCUGGCAAUCCCCCACUUUAUUAUGUGAUCUCCCCCCACAUGUUUUUCUGGGCCAGGAGGAGAACAUCACGGUGCAGGGCAAACACAGGGGCUGGGAUUUAUGCAAAGACAGUGGAUAACACCAACCUAUCUCUUCUCUUUCUUGAAAUCUCAUUGUAAAAUACAGAAAAUGGUCUUCUGAGAGAUAGAGACUCACAAUCAUUGUUUUUAAGAAGAAGACAGGAAAGAGCAGCAGUGAGGUUCUGGGGCUAAGCAGAGAGCUUCUCAGUGCUGGGGCACGGCACGUUGCUCAGAUCAGCUUUCCCUGUGAGAGUAACAGAACGCGGAAGGAACUCUAAGAAGCCUAUUUAAAAAUGACUGACUAGCGGAUGUGAUAGAGAGCGAUUAUCAGGGUAGACUAUAAGCCUGUAACACAGAGGGUGUGGCCAAGCACAGCCCAGCUUUUGUCCCAAGGAUGCCAGCUAAACCAAGGAAAGGUGAACUGGAAUUUCAGGAUCUCUUAAAGUUUGGAGACAUGGGAAAGUGGGGGCUUCAACAGGAAGUCCUCCUCUCCUAAAGCCAGGAUCAGAAAAGGCCACACUCUCAGCAGAAGAGUAAAACCCCACCCUGAAACACAGAAUGGAUCCACGUGCUCCAGAUAAAAGGGAAGGUCGAAAAGCUAACAGAGUUCGGAUACAAAACAGAACAAAGACGAAACAAAAAGCUGCAGCCGAACCCUACCUGCUGCUCCAUGUUGAAAUCUGCCUCCUCAAGUCAGGAGCGAGACGAGAAGGAACACCCAAGACUCCGACAUCAGCAUCAGCUGCAGGGGCUCCCGGAAGGACAAGGAGCUGGGAGAUGGGAACGUCACUAGACCACGAGCCGGAAUUGCUGCAGAAGGAUUCCCACACUCUGGGCCUCCGUGGGCACCACGAGUACUGGAUGUGCGACCCCAGCUCUCUGGGUCUCAGUUUCGUCUCCUGCAGAGCAUCUGAGCUAGACCGUCUCUAAAAUUUCAUCAAGCUCCUGUGUUCCAUUCUAUUCUGAGAUGCCCAAUUCUUAUGCCUGCUAAAAACCACAGUGAGAAAUAAUAACCUAUGUCCAAAUUUUUGUUUCCUAGGAGAAAUAUCAACAUGCGUCUGCCAAAUAAAAUAUUGUAUUAAAUGAG
rnacentral:lncRNA from 1 species